CAGUACAGUGCUGUUGCAGUGUGGGUCCCACAGACUGAUACACCUCAGGUAAUAAAUGUCUCAGCUUCGUAUGAGUUUGGACAGGCAGUUUCUAGUUCCAGACCUACCAACAGUGAUAACUAAUUUGAGAUCACCACUCCUUCAGUGGUGUGCAGUACAGACAUAGCCAUAGUUGGUCUGAUGUUCAGCUCCAUCCUGUAAAGCCUGAGGGAUUUCAGGUGUACUGCUGACUUGGAGCAGGAGCAGUGCUGAAUCUCUGAAAGAUUUGUUGCAUGCCUCAGGAACAGCCACUGGCAUAUGUUUAAGGUUGAUUUCAACCUGGACUGUGAUUACACGAACACUUGUGCUGGCAUAAGGGAGUAGGCGGCACAGGAGCAAAAUGAAGAGACAGAGUGCUCUAUGCCAACAUGACCCAAGAUCCAAGGCAGUGUUGUCACGAAAAAGAAAAGAAAUCUGGGUCAAACACAACUACUCGUCAGCAAGUACCUGAAAGGUUUAAUUUCUGCUGGCCCAAGUUCCUGGGUACAUGCCACUUAAGAAAGUAAACACCCAGCAGAUGUGAUGUAAACAUGCAACGAUUUUCAUCAACAUGCUCUUCGGGAUUGCCUUCACAUUAGCAAGGACAGCACAGACAAUUGGCAGCUCCAAAGUACAAUCAUGCUUUAGAUUUUUUAAAAAUCUGUGACACGCAUGCAGGAAAACUGUGUUUGUCUUUAGAUAAAUAUUUUCUAUUGGAGCUGUCUUACCAAGACUUGCAUAGCACAUUUAUUUCCCUGGGUCAUUUUCCAUUUUACAGUAAAUAGAUUAUA